AAACACUUAAUAUACAAAAUCAAAUAAAAACCUAAAAGAAAACAAAAGCAAUCUAAAGUUUCAUCUAGAUCCAGUGAAUGGAAUCCUUAGUUUCUUCUUCAUUUUUCCAUGGUUCUCUUUCAAGGAAGAAGAGGAGCUCCAUUUUUAUUCCCAAAUCACAUUUCUAGAUCUGUGCAGAAUCAGGUAAGUGCCAUUUUUCCAUUUAAAAAUGUGUUUUGAUGUUUUUGUUCUCUAAUUCAAACAAACAAACUUCUUUUUGUCAUGGACUAGAUGAUUUGAUUGGGUAUGUUCUUCUAGUGAGACUCGA
rnacentral:lncRNA from 1 species